rnacentral:lncRNA from 1 species
GUGGUUAGAAAUUUGUAUUUAAAUUACAUAUGAUGCAUGAUUAAAUAUUUAGAACGUGCUUGUAACCUAAGUUUCUUAGUUAAAUAAUAUUAAGUCUUAAUGGCGAAGUUAAGAAUACUACCCAUACCUUCCUUCAUGCUAAGCCUGUAUUAUCUCAAGAACUAUAGUAGGUUUGUUGUGCUAUCCAUAAGACUAGCUGUGGGGAC